UUCAAAUUUGAAUUUAUGAAACAUAAACUUUUGUAGUCAUAAUUCACAGAAAUUUUGUAGUAAGCUGAACAGCUUUAAACUAUUCAAAUGCAGAUCAUUCGUAAGAAGCGCUGCGAAUUUAUUUUUAGAUUGCGAAAAUAUUUUAUAAAACUUACACAGGCAUUAAUUAAAUCGUAUAAAAUACGCCGACUGCCCGGUUCCUGUGGCUUUGAUCAGCCGUCAAGUGGUUUGAUCGAUUUCCAACAAUAAAAAUUCACCGACAACUUGUUCAUAAUGAAGAUCUGUUGUUGCCUCCACCUCAUUGGCGAUGUGUCUGUGGUCGAUCUUGUUGUUUUGGUGCGCACGGCGCAUCAAUCACCCGAAAGCUACGUAGCGAUCUCUACGGAGAUCGGUGAACGGGGAACGGGGCUGGGGAUUGAUGUCGGCAUCGUUGGGCGUUUCUGGUGCUGCGGCCCAUUGCCGGAAUGCCACGAUUGCCCACCCGUAUACUUGUUUGAUCCUUUUUUAUUUUACGGAACAAUCGAGCAUUUUCACACCGUAAUAAAAACCUCAAACAUGUUUGUAAAGUUGUUAAUGCUGCUGUGCUGCACCAUGUGUAGGUGGGAGCAACGCAUAAAUUAACAUUUUGACUGCCAACUGGCGCGGCAAAUGAUCAAAGACACUUCUGUGCCGUCAUCGUUGCGUUGAUCAUCGUCAUCGCCAUCAGACGGGCAGGCAGGCCACUGGGCCAGACGCAGCAGGAGUCGGAGUCGGGGUCGCUGGCGGAGAUGGAGGCGGAGGCGGUGGCAGCGGCGGCAUCGUGAACAUCAUUUCACGUUUACGAUCCAUCAACACGAGCCAUCAAAUUGUAUACAAACAAACGCAACAAAGAUCAAAAGCCAUAUUCAUUUGAAUAAAAUCUGGAACCGGGUCCCGCCAUUUGAGAGUUGCCUUUCAACAGCCACCGCUACCGUUGGAGAGACACUCUCCGCUCAGGCAAUGCAAAUGGAAAUGGAAAUGGGAAUGAAAAUGAAAAUGGAAAUGGAAAUGCCUCUUCAGCUUCAAUCUUAAUACAUAUUCCACUCCGCUCCCGUGCUCGGCUAAUUACUUAUGUGUCGGCGACUCCGCGGCCCGAGUGUAAUGCAUUUUUCAUGUGCCCCUCUGUGAGGAUUGUCUUAAUCCCUUGCGUACGUCGAGUGCGCACAAAAUGUCUCUUAUUUGUAUGUGAAGUGGAUGUUGAUUUAGUUAAGAAGGCUGGGUGUCAAAAGGAAGCGCAGUUUCUAUGUGUGUACUUAAGAGUUAAGAAGUAUUCGUGUGGACUGAGAGGAGCGUAAGACAUUUGGAAAGAUGUGCAAAUAAAGUUGGGCAAUGAUAAA